UACGUAGGGGGCAAGCGUUGUCCGGAAUCAUUGGGCGUAAAGCGCGUGUAGGCGGCCCGGUAAGUCCGCUGUGAAAGUCCAGGGCUCAACCCUGGAAUGCCGGUGGAUACUGUCGGGCUCGAGUCCGGAAGAGGCGAGUGGAAUUCCUGGUGUAGCGGUGAAAUGCGCAGAUAUCAGGAGGAACACCAAUGGCGAAGGCAGCUCGCUGGGACGGUACUGACGCUCAUGCACGAAAGCGUGGGGAGCAAACAGG
rnacentral:rRNA from 1 species